rnacentral:rRNA from 1 species
GCAUAUCAAUAAGCGGAGGAAAAGAAACCAACAGGGAUUGCCCUAGUAACGGCGAGUGAAGCGGCAACAGCUCAAAUUUGAAAUCUGGCUUCGGCCCGAGUUGUAAUUUGUAGAGGAAGCUUUAGGCGCGGCACCUUCUGAGUCCCCUGGAACGGGGCGCCAAAGAGGGUGAGAGCCCCGUAUAGUUGGAUGCCUAGCCUGUGUAAAGCUCCUUCGACGAGUCGAGUAGUUUGGGAAUGCUGCUCAAAAUGGGAGGUAAAUUUCUUCUAAAGCUAAAUACCGGCCAGAGACCGAUAGCGCACAAGUAGAGUGAUCGAAAGAUGAAAAGCACUUUGAAAAGAGGGUUAAAUAGCACGUGAAAUUGUUGAAAGGGAAGCGCUUGUGACCAGACUUGCGCCAGGCUGAUCAUCCGGUGUUCUCACCGGUGCACUCUGCCCGGCGCAGGCCAGCAUCGGUUCUCGCGGGGGGAUAAAGGCUCCGGGAACGUAGCUCCUCCGGGAGUGUUAUAGCCCGGGGCGUAAUGCCCUCGCGGGGACCGAGGACCGCGCAUCUUGCAAGGAUGCUGGCGUAAUGGUCACCAGCGACCCGUCUUGAAACACGGACCAAGGAGUCAAGGUUUUGCGCGAGUGUUUGGGUGUAAAACCCGCACGCGUAAUGAAAGUGAACGUAGGUGAGAGCUUCGGCGCAUCAUCGACCGAUCCUGAUGUAUUCGGAUGGAUUUGAGUAGGAGCGUUAAGCCUUGGACCCGAAAGAUGGUGAACUAUGCUUGGAUAGGGUGAAGCCAGAGGAAACUCUGGUGGAGGCUCGCAGCGGUUCUGACGUGCAAAUCGAUCGUCAAAUCUGAGCAUGGGGGCGAAAGACUAAUCGAACCAUCUAGUAGCUGGUUACCGCCGAA